rnacentral:rRNA from 1 species
UACGUAGGGACCAAGCGUUGUUCGGAUUUACUGGGCGUAAAGGGCGCGUAGGCGGCGUGGCAAGUCACUUGUGAAAUCUCUGAGCUUAACUCAGAACGGCCAAGUGAUACUGCUGUGCUAGAGUGCAGAAGGGGCAAUCGGAAUUCUUGGUGUAGCGGUGAAAUGCGUAGAUAUCAAGAGGAACACCUGAGGUGAAGACGGGUUGCUGGGCUGACACUGACGCUGAGGCGCGAAAGCCAGGGGAGCAAACGGG